UCUAUUAAUCUGAAGUUUCUACAAUAAAUUACAGAUAUGAAUUGAACUUUUGAUAUUCAAUACCCAAGUAGUAGUAUCACAGAUAGAAAAAUUAUAAGAUGUUAUCAUAUAAGGAUCUUAUCUAGCAACUAUUUGCUGAUUUCUCUUCCUAGGCCUGUCCGUUUUUGCCUGACUCUGAUUUGUCUUAGAUUGGUUAGUUUGAUUGGACUUUGAAGCCCU
rnacentral:lncRNA from 1 species